GACGAACGCUGGCGGCGUGCUUAACACAUGCAAGUCGAACGGAAAGGCCCUGCUUUUGUGGGGUGCUCGAGUGGCGAACGGGUGAGUAACACGUGAGUAACCUGUCCUUGACUUUGGGAUAACUUCAGGAAACUGGGGCUAAUACCGGAUAGGAGCUCCUGCUGCACGGUGGGGGUUGGAAAGUUUCGGCGGUUGGGGAUGGACUCGCGGCUUAUCAGCUUGUUGGUGGGGUAGUGGCUUACCAAGGCUUUGACGGGUAGCCGGCCUGAGAGGGUGACCGGCCACAGUGGGACUGAGAUACGGCCCAGACUCCUACGGGGGGCAGCAGUGGAGAAUAGUGCACAAUGGGCGGAAGCCUGAUGCAGCAACGCCGCGUGCGGGAUGACGGCCGUCGGGUUGUAAACCGCUUUCGCCUGUAACGAAGCGUAAGUGACGGUAAUGGGUAAAGAAGCACCGGCUAACUACGUG
rnacentral:rRNA from 1 species